CUAAUUUUGCAUUUUUUUAUUCGAUUCUAAAAAUAACCGAGUUUGAAACAAAAACGAUAAGUCCCAAAUGUUUUUUAAUCCGUUGAUUCUGCUAUUUAUUACAAUAUGCAGUUUACAACUACUCAGUCAAAUCCAACACUUUUUUAUUAAACGGUUUUAUUUAGCUCACCCCGUUUGUUUUAUUCUUUCUUGGGUCAAAUUUAGUAAUUCAAAUUUCACCCUCUUCCUGUCAACCGAUUAAUCUGAAAUUUUGUGUACACUUUGGAUUUUGGUGACAAUACAAUUAUAUUUAUUCAUUAUCAUUAUAAAUUCAAGAUGGCCGCCGCUACAAAAUGGCGGAUAAUUUAGGUUUUAUUAAUCCCAUCAAUAUGGGUAUCAAAUGAAAGGGCUCAACAAGCAGAAUACAAUAUACUAUAAAAAAAUUAAAUCUAAGAUGGCGGCCGCUACAAAAUGGCGGAUAACGUAGGUUUUAUCAAUCCCAUCAAUAUGGGUAUCAAAUGAAAGGUCUCAACAAGUAGAAUACAAUUUACUAUGCAAAAUUGAAAUCUAAGAUGGCCGCCGCUACAAAAUGGCGGAUAAUUUAGGUUUUAUCAAUCCCAUCAAUAUGGGUAUCAAAUGAAAGGUCUCAACAAGUAGAAUACAAUUUACUAUGCAAAAUUGAAAUCUAAGAUGGCCGCCGCUACAAAAUGGCGGAUAAUUUAGGUUUUAUUAAUCCCAUCAAUAUGGGUAUCAAAUGAAAGGGAUCAACAAGCAGAAUACAAUAUACUAUAAAAAAAUUAAAUCUAAGAUGGCGGCCGCUACAAAAUGGCGGAUAACGUAGGUUUUAUCAAUCCCAUCAAUAUGGGUAUCAAAUGAAAGGUCUCAACAAGUAGAAUACAAUUUACUAUGCAAAAUUGAAAUCUAAGAUGGCCGCCGCUACCAAAUGGCUGAUAUUUUUUUUAAACGGUUUUAUUUAGCUCAACCCGUUUGUUUUAUUCUUUCUUGGGUCAAAUUUAGUAAUUCAAAUUUCACCCUCUUCCUGUCAACCGAUUAAUCUGAAAUUUUGUGUACACUUUGGAUUUUGGUGACAAUACAAUUAUAUUUAUUCAUUAUCAUUAUAAAUUCAAGAUGGCCGCCGCUACAAAAUGGCGGAUAAUUUAGGUUUUAUUAAUCCCAUCAAUAUGGGUAUCAAAUGAAAGGGCUCAACAAGCAGAAUACAAUAUACUAUAAAAAAAUUAAAUCUAAGAUGGCGGCCGCUACAAAAUGGCGGAUAACGUAGGUUUUAUCAAUCCCAUCAAUAUGGGUAUCAAAUGAAAGGUCUCAACAAGUAGAAUACAAUUUACUAUGCAAAAUUGAAAUCUAAGAUGGCCGCCGCUACAAAAUGGCGGAUAAUUUAGGUUUUAUCAAUCCCAUCAAUAUGGGUAUCAAAUGAAAGGUCUCAACAAGUAGAAUACAAUUUACUAUGCAAAAUUGAAAUCUAAGAUGGCCGCCGCUACCAAAU